AAGCUUCCUUUGCAGAUUCACAUGCCAUGAUCCUUACAAAGAUUGCAUCCGUGACAGCAGAGUGGAUGCAAGACAAAGCUUUAAACCGUUUUGCUACUUCUUCAUUGUAUUGCUUCAUUUGAGCAAUUGUUGGGUUGGCUUGUCGGGCAGGAGGAUCUCCUCCUACUUCCACAACUUCCCACAAGUCGAAGGCCUUUAGAUAUGCCUUUAUUUUUACAGCCCACAUGGGAUAAUUGUUGCCAUUGAAAACUGGAGGAGCAGCAAUGCUGUAAUUGGAGGAAGCCAUUUAUUUUUGAAGUCUGACAGAAAGAACAGAUAAAGAAAAA
rnacentral:lncRNA from 1 species